GAAACAUUAAAUAAACAAUGAUCAAUAAGAUUGCAUCCAUAUGAGUUGCUAUAUAACACGGUUUACAAUUCUUUUAAAUACGAGCAUGACAUGAAAGACAUUCAUGCAAGUUCCCAGCAGGCAACAGCCUUUUUAUCAUCGGGCCAGUGUGAACAUCAAAACCCACAGGAGGAUGUACUUGGCAUUUAACUUGGGUACAAGAAUCAGCCCUCGAAGCAAGAACUCGUACAAACACUGUAGAAUAUUUGAAUAUUUUCUGAAUGUAGAUACCAUACACUACAUACAACCUGAACCUGGUAACUAAUCGGAUAUGUACAGCGAGAUAAAAUUGGAUUACUAUGUCCCCCACGAC
rnacentral:lncRNA from 1 species